rnacentral:lncRNA from 1 species
UUACAAAGUAUCUCCUCAUGAUCUUUUAGCUUGUUCUCAACUGGUGUCAGCUGCUUGUGCAAGCUGAUGAAGCAUUUGGAGAAGAUAACUAUUUCGGUAGUUGGGACGAUGACAUGGCAAGCCCAGUUGAAAAUGUAACGAGAUACAUUAUUCCCUUGAAUGUUGUGAGACCAGGAAUAUAUUUUCACGUGUAUUUCGAUGCUGAAAUUCAAGUACUAACCCACAAUCUGGUGUCCUGUAUAUUGUUACAAAGGGAAUGGAAGACCUACAUAUCAUAGGUAAACUGGGCUUGUGUUGCUGUACCGGUUCCUUGACCACCGUUAUGGUUCUCUCUAAGAGUAGCCUGAGGCAGUUGUGUUCAGUCCCCAGAAUAUCAAGUAGAGUCACUGCCUGCACUUUGAUGGUCUCACACAGUCCAUUCAUGAGCGUGCAUUGUUCUUACCAUGUGAGACAACGCCAUCAAUUUUCUGGCAAUGAAAUGAACUCACUAGUAUUCCUCUUGCCAUUGCAGAUUUUUCAAGUGUAACUAGCCCCCCAUAAUGAGCUGAAGUAGGGUGGUAGAUUGGGAUAGUUGGUGAGAGCGAAACUAAUCAUGAUGGAAAACAACAUCUCUUACAAAACAAAGUGAAAAAAAAAAAUCUUUAUUCAUAAAUUGGAGUUUAGCACUGCCUCAUUGUAAGGCUCUAUCCCUCUGAUUGCCAGCUGCCUGGUUGGCAUGGGUGUAUGUGUUAAUGUAAUAAGACUAAAAUGCUUCCUUUUCAUAAAAUAAACUACACUUGAAGGUCAUCCAUUGUUUUGUUGUGUUAGUGCCUUUACUUCAUCCUUGUGUCUGAGGCUGCUUUCCAGUAUUUUUAUUCCAUAAUAAUCAUUUUUAACUGACUCUGUGUGCCUUCCUGGCCACAGACAAGCCACCCCCAACAACCAAUACCUUAACAGUGCAUAUGUACUGUAUUGUCGGAAGGGGAAUUUGGACAGGACAUUUUCACCUGUGCCAAUGCCAGCGAGCACCUUUCCCUGCAAUACAGCGGUGUCUUUCGGUGAAGCAAACCUAUGCUGAUCUGCGAGAGUAUGAGAGUGUGCUUCAUUGCGAAGUCAUUAAGCUCUCAAUUUAACUUAAAGAAAAAAUGGGAAUAUAUAUACUCAAUUGAUCAAGCUAUCUACGUUGCGAAAAUAAUUUUAAAUAUGCUAAACGCAAUUUUGUUUCGAAAUCGGGGAACCAAAGCACGGUAACGAGAGUAUGUUUACAAACAUUCCGGCGCCAUGUUGUAACGGUUCUCCGUCGAUUUUUUCCUUGCGUUCUAAGUUUUGAUGACGCCUUUCCCCGCUGUUAUCUUCGUCGUCGCACCUACAGCCCUCAGAGAUGGAAUAUAGCUUUGUUCGGAGGGGCGAAAAUGCCGUAAAAUCAACCUACCUCAUGCAAAUCAGUUACGACGACGACCCGAGGUGCAUUACCGGCGUAGUGCAGGCCACCAUGAGAAACAAAUUUUACGCCUUCGAGGUAAGUCGUUUUUAUUAUUAUUAUUGAGGCUUGUACUAAAUACUAAAUUAAAAAGCUAGUCCAAACAGGAGAACAUAUGAAGAGCACAAUGAAAAGAAAUCAUUAAAGAUGAAUAAACAAAAUAACCGGAUAGCGUAUGGACACAGGCAUACUUCUGAACGCCGUUUUACCAUAAAAAUAUUAAGGCGCAUUCACACUUUUGCGACCUCUUAAAACUGGGUUUCUUGAAACCUCUCACGAGAGGACACAUUCGCGCCAUCUAUUGGGUAGCAGUGUAAACUUGACAGUCCGGCAUAUUUUCUAUUUGUCGCGCAUUAUCCUUUCUUUCUUGGCUCGAAAAGUUUUGUCAACGUUAUAAACAAGCCUUUCUGAUAGACCGACACGCUGUUUACAAACAAGCCCGCAUUUGCCCACACCAGGUGUGGGCACUGCGCGUGCGCAGAAACUGAAUUCGCGUGACUUGAAGCGUCUGCGCACGCGCAGUGCCGUCCACAGCGCCACCGCAGCUGCGGACGGCACCGCAGGUAUUACGCACAUUUGACCUCGGAAAUACCGCAAAACCUUCGCUCUUGUUAAAUGCAGUUCCAGGGCCACUGCAUAGAUGGCGCCAGCGUGUUCUCUCGUCCCAAGAAAUUUUGAGAGGCUUUAACAAGUCUCGUCUUUCUCAGUCGUACUCGGUUGCAAGAGUGAACGGGCCUUAAGCGCCAUUCACAGUCUUGUGGCCGAGUAAGACUAGACCGGCUUUUGAGCCUCUUGCGAUCUCUUAGGAUCGGAUGCGCUACAGCGGAGCUGGUCCCAAGAGAUCGCAAGAGGCUUAAAAACCGGUCUGGUCUCUCUUGGGGCCGCAAGAGUGUGAACGGGCCUUUAAGACUACCAAAAGUUUGAUCUGGAUUUUACUCUCACUACUACUUGCAUGCAACUACUUUAUCAAUAUUAUAGUAAUAAGAUAUAAAUAUACCGCCAGAUUUUCAAACAAUAUGACCGAACAGAAUAUGGGUUUUACGUGCUCUUGGUUGUGUUUGGCCCUUUUUUUACAUCAAGGCAACUAACCGCCAGUGCUACAUGUACUCACCUUGUUUUUUUAUCCAGUUCUCUCACGCUUUGGGGUCUUGCGGGAAUCUGAAGAAAUUGCAAGAACCUCUCUUCACGCGAUUGUUACAACCAGGUAUGAAGCACUCUCACAUAGGGCGAGUCCGCAAAAAAAAUUUGGGAUCUCAACCGAUCGCCUGAAGUGCUUUUCUCACAGGUGCAAUGCAACCUUUUAGCAGACAAUCACCUCGAUCGACGACUGGACUUUCAAUGAACUAUAUUUUGCAUUGCACCCCACUAUGAAUUCUUAUAAGUGUCUGAAGGUCAUUAUAUUUCAAACAAAUACAA